rnacentral:rRNA from 1 species
AGAGUUUGAUCCUGGCUCAGGACGAACGCUGGCGGCGUGCUUAACACAUGCAAGUCAAGGGGGCCCGCAAGGGCAACCGGCGAACGGGUGCGUAACACGUGAGCAACCUGCCGAUUUGUGGGGGAUAGCCGGCCCAACGGCCGGGUAAUACCGCAUACGCUUUUGGAGAGACAUCUCUCCUUGAGGAAACCUCCGGGGCAAAUCGAGGGGCUCGCGGCCUAUCAGCUAGUUGGCGGGGUAAUGGCCCACCAAGGCGGUGACGGGUAGCUGGUCUGAGAGNGAUGGCCAGCCACAUUGGGACUGAGAAACGGCCCAGACUCCUACGGGAGGCAGCAANGGGGAAUCUUGCGCAAUGGCCGAAAGGCUGACGCAGCGACGCCGCGUGUGGGAGGACGCCCUUCCGGGUGUAAACCACUGUUGCCCGGGACGAAAUCC